rnacentral:rRNA from 1 species
GACGAACGCUGGCGGCGUGCUUAACACAUGCAAGUCGAACGGAAAGGCCCUGCUUUUGUGGGUUGCUCGAUUGGCGAACGGGUGAGUAACACGUGAGUAACCUGCCCUUGUCUUUGUGAUAUCUUCAGGAAACUGGGGCUAAUACCGGAUAGGAUCUCCUGCUGCAUGUUGGUGGUUGGAAAGUUUCGGCGGUUGUGGCUGGACUCGCUGCUUAUCAGCUUCUUGGUGUGGUAGUGGCUUACCAAGGCUUCGACGGGUAGCCUGCCUGAGAGGGUGAACGGCGACAUGGGGACUGAGAGACGGACCAGACUCGUACGGGAGGCAGCAGGGGGGAACAUUGCACAAUGGGGGGAAGCGUGAGGCAGAAACGCCGGGUGCGGGAAGACGGGCUUCGGGUUGUAAACCGAUUUCGCCGGUGACGAAGCGUGAGUGACGGUAAUGGGUAAAGAAGCAACGGCUAACUACGUG